AAUAGUUUGAAUAUUAACAAUAAUUAUUUGUUAUUUAUUCGAAAAUAUGAUUUGUACAGGAUGUUUUUAUUUAGCCAUCUCUGAGAAUACUGACGAGAGAUGAACUUCCUGUUCCUGUUCGAUUAUAAACGGAAGUCCCUUGCCAUAGGCUCGGACAUUUGUUGUCAAACACACGACACAAUAUUUUAUUAACUGAAUGAUGAGAUGUUGGUUAGAUGAAUUUACUUGGUGGUGACAACCUGCAAUGAUUUUAUGUUCGUGAUCAAGUAUUCGAUAAAAUGGCGGCGCGUUCGCGCCAACAGACGCUAAGUUUCCGAUUUAUUUGAAAUUUACUUUUUAUACGGGAAUUUUUUUUUUGUUAUUAUUUUUUUCUGGCGAUUUAAUGUUUAGUUUUUUUACUAUUGUUGAUUUUUUUUUUUAAAUUAUUAUUUUGUCGGAUUUUUCCUGGAUGUGCUGUAGAAAAUACGACCAGGGCGACGUGAGUGAGUUUGCGCGGUACUAAUUUAAUAGGUUGAGAUGCCCGCUAACUUUACUAUCAUUAGAAAUACGGCGGGAAAAAUAUAAUGUGAAACGUUUAAUCUAUAUAUACAAUACAAAUGUAUGUAUAUAUCCAUUGAUAUAGAGAGUGGAGAUCCAGAUAGUUCGAUUCAGUCUGCAGUAGUUUGUUGCAUACAGGAAAUUGCAAUGCC